rnacentral:tRNA from 1 species
CGGGGAGUGGCGCAGCGGUAGCGCACCUGCUUUGGGGGCAGGCGGUCGGGGGUUCAAGUCCCCCCUCCCCGA